UAGCAAUUUUUAUUGGGCCUAAAGCGUCCGUAGCCGGUUUAAUAAGUCUCUGGUGAAAUCCUGUAGCUUAACUGUGGGAAUUGCUGGAGAUACUAUUAGACUUGAGACCGGGAGAGGUUGGAGGUACUCCCAGGGUAGAGGUGAAAUUCUGUAAUCCUGGGAGGACCGCCUGUUGCGAAGGCGUCUAACUGGAACGGUUCUGACGGUGAGGGACGAAAGUUAGGGGCGCGAACCGGAUUAGAUACCCGGGUAGUCCUAACUGUAAACGAUGCGGACUUGGUGUUGGGGUGGCUUUGAGCUGCUCCAGUGCCGAAGGGAAGCUGUUAAGUCCGCCGCCUGGGAAGUACGGUCGCAAGACUGAAACUUAA
rnacentral:rRNA from 1 species